rnacentral:rRNA from 1 species
GACGUAGGGGGCAAGCGUUGUUCGGAAUUAUUGGGCGUAAAGCGCUCGUAGGCGGGACUGGAAGUCCGUGUUGAAAGACCUCGGCUCAACUGAGGGACCGGCUCGGAUACUCUAGUUCUUGAGGCAGUCAGAGGGUGAUGGAAUUCCCGGUGUAGCGGUGAAAUGCGCAGAUAUCAGGAGGUACACCGAUGGCGAAGGCAGGUCUCUGGGCAUUAACUGACGCUGAGGAGCGAAAGCAUGGGGAGCGAACAGG